rnacentral:rRNA from 1 species
AUACGGAGGGGGCAAGCGUUGUUCGGAAUCACUGGGCAUAAAGGGUGCGUAGGCGGCAAUAUAAGUCAGACGUGAAAUCUCCGGGCCUAAUCCGGAACGUGCGUUUGAUACUGCAUUGCUUGAGGGCGGGAGAGGAGAGUGGAAUUCCAGGUGUAGCGGUGAAAUGCGUAGAUAUCUGGGAGAACACCAGUGGCGAAGGCGACUCUCUGGACCGCUUCUGACGCUGAGGCACGAAAGCUAGGGGAGCGAACGGGAUUAGAAACCCCGGUAGUCC